CACAGAUGCGAUACUGCGGGUGCAUCUGCAUAUGUGUGCACAGGUGCCUGUGCAUGUGUACAUGUGUGCAUAGACCUGUGUGUACAUCUGUCUCCAUGUACGUAUGUCUGUGUGUGGCACAGAUGGGAUACUGCGGGUGCAUCUGCAUAUGUGUGCACAGGUGCCUGUGCAUGUGUACAUGUGUGCAUAGACCUGUAUGUGCAUCUGUCUCCAUGUACGUAUGUCUGUGUGUGGCACAGAUGGGAUACUGUGGGUGCAUCUGCAUGUGUGUACACAGGUGCCUGUGCAUGCAUACGUGUGUG
rnacentral:lncRNA from 1 species